GGUGAACGCUAGCGGCAGGCUUAAUACAUGCAAGUCGAGGGACAGCACAGGUAGCAAUACUGGGUGGUAACCGGCAAACGGGUGCGGAACACGUACACAACCUUCCUUUAAGUGGGGGAUAGCCCAGAGAAAUUUGGAUUAAUACCCCGUAAUAUAGUUGAAUGGCAUCAUUUGAUUAUUAUAGCUACGGCGCUUAAUGAUGGGUGUGCGGCUGAUUAGAUAGUUGGCGGGGUAACGGCCCACCAAGUCUACGAUCAGUAGCUGAUGUGAGAGCAUGAUCAGCCACACGGGCACUGAGACGCGGGCCCGACUCCUACGGGAGGCAGCAGUAAGGAAUAUUGGUCAAUGGACGCAAGUCUGAACCAGCCAUGCCGCGUGAAGGAUUAAGGUCCUCUGGAUUGUAAACUUCUUUUAUUUGGGACGAAAAAGGGCCUUUCUAGGUCAACUGACGGUACCAGAUGAAUAAGCACCGGCUAACUCCGUGCCAGCCGCCGCCGUAAAAC
rnacentral:rRNA from 1 species